ensembl:lncRNA MPDU1-AS1 MPDU1 antisense RNA 1
CUUCUCAGAAGUGACUUCCGUCCAGCUCGGCAUGGCGGCAGUCACUGCCGUCACUUAGUCGCCGAUCAAGGCUUGGACUAAGGGCCCACGGUCACUCGAGUAGGACUUGGAUCGGAUGCUGAAUAAAACUCACCGUGAAGCAAGUCCCACUGAACGAAAAGUUGGUCGUAGCAUUUCUCAGCAGCUGCUUCCGGCUCCCUGAGACCCAGCCAUGGAAGGCAUAGAAAGGCAUGUGACAAGAAACUCAUGGCUUUUAAUCCUGGCAGGACAAGGAAAACCCCGUCAAAGAUUUGCAUAAAUUUUGCUGCUCUCCUGCUGGGGGGGGGGGGGGGGCAGUUCGUCACAUUUAAUAAAAUUCUCUCCCUCCCUUC